rnacentral:rRNA from 1 species
AUUGAACGCUGGCGGCAGGCCUAACACAUGCAAGUCGAGCGAGCGGCGGACGGGUGAGUAAUGUAUGGGGACUGCCCGAUAGAGGGGGAUAACUACUGGAAACGGUGGCUAAUACCGCAUACUAUCGGAUAACCCAUAUGGGAUUAGCUAGUAGGUGGGGUAAAGGCUCACCUAGGCGACGAUCUCUAGCUGGUCUGAGAGGAUGAUGAGCCGGAUGGGGUAUGAGGCACGGUCGGGACGCGUACGGAGGCACCAGUGGGGAAUAUGUGACAAGGGGGGUAAGACUGAUGCAGCCAUGCCGCGUGUAUGAAGAAGGCCUUAGGAUUGUAAAGUACUGUCAGCGGGGAGGCGUUACCUGCAGAAUAAGCCCCUGCUAACUCCGUGCCAGCAGCCGCGGUAAUUC